GUGGCGUCUCUCUGAACCCCCUCGACCGUCCGAGCUUCUAGACUUCUCCGACAAAGAGCUUCUCCAUCCAUCUACCGGGCCGCUUCAAAUACUCUAUAGGCCUCACUAUCAGCCGACCUUCUACAGUGAUCAACUAUUUUCCGAACUUCUUUCGGACUUCGUCAAUAUCCGAGCUUCUUCAACAAUGAGAUUUCUACAGUAAUC
rnacentral:lncRNA from 1 species